GUUCAAAAAAAAAAAUCAAAAAAAAUUAUGUUAAUAAAAUUUGAAAAAAGUAUUUUCAUAUAGUUCUUACACAUGUGUAAUUGACAUAAAACUCGAAAGAAUUUCAAAAAACGGUCCAGAAAGCACUUUUUUAAGGGGGUGAUAAGUUUUUGCCAAAACUUUCAAAAUCUCAAAAUUUGACUGUUGGGUUUUGACUUGCGUUACAUAAAGCCUAUGAAAAAUUUAGAUGGAACACACUCGCCCACUAUAGGAAUUUUGGAGUGUUACACAGCUCAUUUGCAGCAUGGCAUUUGCCAUCAGCUUUGGAUGAAAGCGGGCCAGAACUAGUGUACUUGUCCAUCGUGUAUAUGCUGCGCUCGGUGCCAAUAACUUGCCAUGUUAUUUUGUACAAUUGGGGGGGGACUUCCCUUACAUAAGACAGUCCUGGAAGCCGAUCAAGAAACCUGCAGACCCCUUUCACAGAAAUCACAGGUGAUUGGUGGGAGUGUAACUGACAGUUAGACUUACAGGUUAUGUCGUUGUUUUGUGUUUGAAUUGUUUACGUGUCCGUAGUGCGGGGAAAUGAUAAGACAAGCGGAACUACAUAGCUAAUAACUGUUGUAACGGGGAUUCUUAUUGUAGCAACACACUUUUGGAGGGAAGGCAAUCCCGCGCUGUGUUAGCUAAGUUUUCAUGUCAUCGGGUGUAGUUCAUAAAGUUUGAAGCGUAUAUGUUAGGAUGGUAACGUUAUAAUAAUUAAGGAUGAAGCGUGAAUUCAUGCCAGGAAUAAUAAGUGUGAAGUUUGAUUUCCUCCCUUCUGUAAUAAGCAGCCAAUGAGGUAUUUUUCCUUUAUUCAUGUGUUUAAUCUAAUACUGUUAUAGCGCCGGCUAAACUGUUUAUGUAUGUAAGCACUUCAGAGUUAUACCAAGCUAAUAAGUCACUCGUAAGAUAAGGUUGUAAGAGUGUGCUUAACUGUAUUUUUCAUUUACUUUAUAGUUCUCACGGAAGGUGAUAAUUCUGACUAAAUCUACAGAAUAAAGCCGCCAGUUAAAAUCAAGGAAAGGUUGUGCUCGUGGUUACUGGAGGGAGCUACAGUUAUGCCCAACGUUAUUAAUGAACAGCACAUGUUUUUCUUGACCAAAUACGACACAAUCCCAUUGCCUUCCAGUCAAAAAAACACACUAACCACUUUGUCUGUAUAGCUUCAAAUUUCACCCAGGACAAAGUGCAGAGUUGUAUCUCUCGCUUCACAUAUCCCACUCUGGCUGUAAACCUACACUCACUUCCCUGAAAUAAUUACUGGGCGGAGAUAUCUUUCUUGAAGCUGGAAAGUGAAACUGGGAAAACAUUUGGAAUGCGUGAUGCUGCUUGUAGCUGGAAGGUUAACAUUAUCACAGUUUGCAUCUAGAUUGCACCCGAAGUUGCACCAACCCUGAAGCCCAAAGCGUUUAAACCCAAGGCAAACGAAGAUGGCGCCAGAAUCAAGCUUGUCCCCACCUACCAAAUUUCUGCUGGGGCCCGGUGAGCCGCAGGAGCCUUGGAAUGACUGGAUAAAGUAUUUUGAGUUGUACAUUACACAAAGAGGCUUGCCAGAGGAAGAGAAGAUAGCACUGUUAAGCGUUUACCUUGGGAAGGAGGGACUGCGCAUCUUAAAUACCUUGACAACGAUUGAAACAUAUGCAGCAAUGAUUGAUGCCCUCACUGCUUACUACAGCAAAGCUCAGGAGCCUCAAGACUGUCAGGAGCCUCAGGACCCGGAUGAUUCACAAAGAAUCAAACAGAACAG